rnacentral:rRNA from 1 species
UACGUAGGGUGCGAGCGUUAAUCGGAAUUACUGGGCGUAAAGCGUGCGCAGGCGGUUCGCCAAGUCAGGUGUGAAAUCCCCGGGCUUAACCUGGGAAUUGCGCUUGAAACUAGCGGGCUUGAGUGCGGCAGAGGGGGGUGGAAUUCCACGUGUAGCAGUGAAAUGCGCAGAUAUCAGGAGGAACACCGGUGGCGAAGGCGGGUCUCUGGGCCGUAACUGACGCUGAGGAGCGAAAGCGUGGGGAGCGAACAGG